rnacentral:rRNA from 1 species
UACGAAGGGUGCAAGCGUUAAUCGGAAUUACUGGGCGUAAAGCGUGCGUAGGUGGUCUGUUAAGUCUGAUGUGAAAGCCCUGGGCUCAACCUGGGAAUUGCAUUGGAUACUGGCAGGCUAGAGUGCGGUAGAGGGUAGUGGAAUUCCCGGUGUAGCAGUGAAAUGCGUAGAGAUCGGGAGGAACACCAGUGGCGAAGGCGACUACCUGGACCAGCACUGACACUGAGGCACGAAAGCGUGGGGAGCGAACAGG